UAAAAGUUAGUGUUAUCACGUUUAAUUUUGAUUUAAAUAAUAGUAUAGUUAUUAUAUUACUUUUAU
rnacentral:tRNA from 1 species